rnacentral:rRNA from 1 species
UACGAGAGCCCCAAGCGUUAUCCGGAAUUAUUGGGCGUAAAGGGUGCGUAGGCGGUUGUGUUAGUCAUGUGUUAAAGGCCCGAGCUUAACUUGGGGCAUGCACGCGAAACGGCACGACUUAGAGAGGAGGAGAAGUGUGCGGAACUCAUGGUGUAGGGGUGAAAUCCGUUGAUAUCAUGGGGAACACCAAAUGCGAAAGCAGCACACUGGCCUCUUUCUGACGCUGAGGCACGAAAGCGUGGGUAGCGAAUGGG